rnacentral:rRNA from 1 species
GAAUUCCCCCUUAGAGUUUGAUCCUGGCUCAGGACCAUUGCUGGCGGCGUGCUUAACACAUGCAAGUCGAACGAGAAUCUGUGGAUUGAGGAUUCGUCCAAAAGAAACAGAGGACAGUGGCGGACGGGUGAGUAACGCGUGAGGAACCUGCCUUUCAGAGGGGGACAACAGUUGGAAACGACUGCUAAUACCGCAUAACGCAUAUUGGUCGCAUGGUCGAUAUGCCAAAGAAUUAUCGCUGAAAGAUGGCCUCGCGUCUGAUUAGCUAGUUGGUGAGGUAACGGCCCACCAAGGCGACGAUCAGUAGCCGGACUGAGAGGUUGAACGGCCACAUUGGGACUGAGAAACGGCCCAGACUCCUACGGGAGGCAGCAGUGGGGAAUAUUGGGCAAUGGGCGCAAGCCUGACCCAGCAACGCCGCGUGAAGGAAGAAGGCUUUCGGGUUGUAAACUUCUUUUGUGAGGGACGAGAAGAAGACGGUACCUCAUGAAUAAGCCACGGCUAACUACGUGCCAGCAGCCGCGGUAAUACGUAGGCGGCAAGCGUUGUCCGGAUUUACUGGGUGUAAAGGGCGUGUAGCCGGGUCGGCAAGUCAGAUGUGAAAUCCAUGGGCUUAACCCAUGAACUGCAUUUGAAACUGUUGAUCUUGAGUAUCGGAGAGGCAAUCGGAAUUCCUAGUGUAGCGGUGAAAUGCGUAGAUAUUAGGAGGAACACCAGUGGCGAAGGCGGAUUGCUGGACGACAACUGACGGUGAGGCGCGAAAGCGUGGGAGCAAACAGGAUUAGAUACCCUGGUAGUCCACGCUGUAAACGAUGAAUACUAGGUGUGCGGGGACUGACCCCCUGCGUGCCGCAGCUAACGCAAUAAGUAUUCCACCUGGGGAGUACGAUCGCAAGGUUGAAACUCAAAGGAAUUGACGGGGGCCCGCACAAGCGGUGGAUUAUGUGGUUUAAUUCGAAGCAACGCGAAGAACCUUACCAGGGCUUGACAUCCUACUAACGAAGUAGAGAUACAUCAGGUGCCCUCCGGGGAAAGUAGAGACAGGUGGUGCAUGGUUGUCGUCAGCUCGUGUCGUGAGAUGUUGGGUUAAGUCCCGCAACGAGCGCAACCCUUGUCUUUAGUUACCAUCAUUCAGUUGGGGACUCUAGAGAGACUGCCGGUGAUAAACCGGAGGAAGGUGGGGAUGACGUCAAAUCAUCAUGCCCUUUAUGGCCUGGGCUACACGCGUACUACAAUGGCGUACACAAAAAGAAGCAAUACAGCGAUGUGGAGCAAAACUUAUAAAUUACGUCUCAGUUCGGAUCGGAGUCUGCAAUUCGACUCCGUGAAGUUGGAAUCGCUAGUAAUCGCGAAUCAGCAUGUCGCGGUGAAUACGUUCUCGGGGCUUGUACACACCACCCGUCA